GUAGUAUUCCCUCCAUCCCAAAUUCUUGUCUUACAUUUGUUUAGAUACGAAUGUGUCUAACACUAAAAUGUAACUAGAUAAUCCAUAUUUAGACAAAUUUAAGACAAGAAUUUUGGGACAGAGGGAGUACAAA
rfam:Triticum aestivum genome assembly, contig: Triticum_aestivum_CS42_TGACv1_scaffold_321148_4BL